GACGAACGCUGGCGGCGUGCUUAACACAUGCAAGUCGAACGGAAAGGCCUGCUUUCCCUUGUGGUUUGCUGGUACUCGAGUGGCGAACGGGUGAGUAACACGUGAGUGAUCUGCCCCCAACUUUGGUAUAAGCCUGGGAAACUGUGUCUAAUUCCCGAUAGGACUGCAGGGUGGUGCCUGUGGUGGCAAACGUUUUUCUACUGGUUGGUGAUGAGCUCGCGGCCUAUCAGCUUGUUGGUGGGGUAAUGUCCUACCAAGGCGGCGACGGGUAGCCGGGCUGAGAGGGUGGACGGGAGAAUUGGGAAUGAGAUACGGCCAAGACGCCAACGGGAGGAAGCAGAGGGGAAUAAAGGACAAGGGGCGGAAGCCAGAAGAAGCGACGCAGCGUGGGGGAUGACGGGCUUGGGGUGGUAAACUACUUGCGAACGAGAGGAAGCCACCUGGUUGGAAGGGUGGUGACGGUAGUGGUAGAAGAAGCACCGGCUAACUACGUG
rnacentral:rRNA from 1 species